AACAUAUUUACGAAGUGCACGCUGUUAGACAGCUCAAAUUACAAAUAGAUUAGAUGAAACUAUCAAUAUUACUUAAAAUUAGAUUAACUUCUUAGUAAGGUACUUGCUGUGAAGCUGUAUCGCUAGUUCUAUUCUUAACCUUAAAUUCAUGCCCAAAAAUUGUAAAAUCACGGUAAGCAAAAAUUGAAUUCCUUCUAAAUUAAAAUCUAAAACUUAUCAUAAAAUUAUUAGAAUUCGACCAACGACAACACUGAACACAGACGAAGCUACGUAAGGGACUAAACGUAAG